AAAAUAUUUCAGGCAGAUGGGGAUUGGAUCUCUGUUUAAGAGGGGGAAAUUUUGGUGCAGAAGAUUUGGAGACUUCAUGAAAAUCACAAAACUGGUUAGCAUCAGAGCUAAUACUGGACCUCCGGACCCCUGACACCUAAUUCAAUGCUCUUUCCACUGUACCAUGCUGAUUUUGGGUCAUCUGCUGAAUCAAUGGGGGAUUCCAUUCGCUCUACUGUCAAGAAGGCAGCCAGAUUGG